rnacentral:tRNA from 1 species
UUUAUAGAAAGUGAGAAAAUUACGUGCGGUUUCGGCCCGCUUCUUGGUAGUGAAAGUCUGCCUCUGUUAAA